AAAGGUAUAAAGGCGACAUGUAAAAGAAAAUAUAUAUGUCAUUUUAGCAGGAAGUAUAUCCAGAAUGUAUGAGAACAUGUGUUGAAAAGAAUUGCUAUCAUAGCCUAACAUUUUUUUAGUUGCACACAUCACAUGUCGAUGUUACAAAUAGAUCAGGUGCCCACAUGCCUUUGAUUUUCCCCUAACAGACUGACUUAGAGCAUGGAUAGUUGGUGCGGGUCUGUAUGUGGUUGCCAAUGGAGUAACUUGCAAUUCCACACCCAGUCUAACAAAAUGAUAAUGUCCACCUCAUGACUUCGGUUCCAUGUCUCCACAAAGCUGGCAGAAUUGAGAAUCACAAAUCAUGAGAAAGGGAAUACACGCAAGAUGUCACGAACAUAAAUUGGUCAAAAGUUCAGGGAUCAAUGAACGGUACCUACAAACCCAAGCAUGAUAGACAGGAAGUACAUCAUGGCGCACGGUACCAAAUGACCAGAAAGCAAAAACCAAAUCAGAAAAAUACAAACCUAGAUUCCUAAAUAAAUAGAGGAUGCAAUUUCUUAUAAUUCUAAAUUGUAGUAUGGAGAUCGCUGUAUGGCCCAUGCACCAAGGUUCUAAGAAAAGUUGGCAUAACAAUCAAGCAUUGCAAAUACUUGGUAUUUUCUAACAGGAAAGGAGAGGGGUCUCUCACCUAGCGAAGCGAUAGGGGGGGGAGGCAACAGGCAAGAACAAUAACAAUGAAAACUGGUGCACGUGUCGUCAUAAAGAUACUUGUAUAUGUGCGCCUAAUCAUAUCCUGCAUCUGUUUAAAUUGUCUGGGAGACAUAUAUUAGAUGACAUAAAAGUAUAUUGUGGGUAAUUCAAGAAAUCUAUAUAUCCUAGAAAAAUAAGUGAUUUACAAUUGAUCAAAGGCAUCCUCUUUAUCAUGUGGACACACAAGAAGAAAAUUUCAGACCAAAUGUGGCAGAUCAGAUUGUCUUUUCAGCUUGUGAAAAAGAGUCAGCUUUUUUUAGGGAUAAUAAGUCAAAAAGGUUAUGUUGUGUUUGCAGGGAACAUAACGUCCUAACGGUGGAUACUCGAGUGGUAUAAGCAGGUAGUAUUUUUAUCUCAUUUAGUCGCAUUAAAAUGAACCUAGACUAUAUACUGCAGCUAAUAUAUUUCAUAUUAGCGUAAAGGGAGAAGCCCAGUGAAAUCAGCUAAGAAUUCAUCUAGGAAUGAUCCGUUCUGUUAUUUUCAAGGGCACAUAUCAAAUGAUCCCAAGUAAGAAUUUCAAAGUUGUGGAAUCUCAAAAGAUCCAUCUAGGAACGCAAGUACGGCAACUAAAUAGUGAUUAAAUUAAUGUUUGAGCUUGGAUAAGCUUACCUGGGUGGCCUCUUCUCCAAACGGUCCUCAACUUUGGGACAUAGAUGGCUUGCUUAAUGAAAUCCGGGCAGCAUGAGCCUCUUCAAAUGGAAUGGUCCCUGUCAUUGCCCUCAAAACAUUAGACCAUGCUUAGUUAUAAAUCACGUCACACAUAGCUUAAUUUUUUGGGUAGUUGUAAACAUUGUACAUCAAAAGUUAAAUAAAAGCCCAAAAGAGAACUCCAAUGACUACAUUAUAAUGCAUUGCCACUUACCCAUGAUCAACACAACAAGAUCGAAGGACGUGUCGACGGGCGGCAAGAGGGGCCUGACAGGGAGGUCCGUGCAGGAUCUGGAAGGAACACACACCAGUGAUGCAAAGCUCAGAACCAACAGAUUGAAAGAAAGCGGCUUAAAUAUUCAUACACAGCAGGCUAAUCAGGUUAAUUUACCAUACAUACGAGCAACUACCACAGAAUAGUUGGAUCUACCCAAGCAGUUCUACAUAAGCUUACAAGCUCGCAAAAUGCCCACACAUUAUGGACCCCUACCUCAAACUGCAAAUCCAGAUCAGAUCCACUAAGAUGCAGCAGCAGAGGCUAACUUCCCAACAAAUCAUCAAUCCCCGAACCCCUUUGCUUAUCCCCAAUCGAAUGGAUCAUCGAGCAAACAGAGCGGGGGCGAACAGGAUCAAAUCGAUGAAACGACCCAGCAUCAGGUGCGGCUGAUUCCGUCCCAGAUCCGCCCGGAUCGACGCGACAGGAAAAGAAAUCAACGGUGAAUCAUCCUGCGGGGAGGCGGAUCGAGUUCGUACCUGACGGAGAGAGGCGACUCGAAUCACGUGGAAGACGAGAAGGAUCCGUGGGGAAAAGUUAUCCUCUGCUGCUCCUCUCGUCGUCGUGGCCCCGACCAGACCGUGCCUGCGAUGGUGAGGAGCAACCUCGACGGGGAGGGCAGAGGCUCAAACGAUAAGCUCCAUCUCCGGUCGACUGGCAAGGCAACCCCAACGGCACGGCACCGUCUGAA
rnacentral:lncRNA from 1 species